rnacentral:rRNA from 1 species
AUACGGCGGAUCCGAGCGUUAUCCGGAUUUAUUGGGUUUAAAGGGUGCGCAGGCGGCCAUUUAAGUCAGCGGUUAAAUCGUGGGGCUCAACCCCAUUCUGCCGUUGAUACUGGGUGGCUUGAUUGCGGUCGAGGUUGGCGGAAUUCGUUGUGUAGCGGUGUAAUGCAUAGAUAUGACGAAGAACACCGAUUGCGUAGGCAGCUGACCAGACCGCAAAUGACGCUCAUGCACGAAAGUGCGGGGAUCGAACAGGAUUAGAUACCCUGGUAGUCCGCACAGUAAACGAUGAAUACUUGUUUUCGGCGAUAUAAUGUCGGAGACAAAGCGAAAGCGAUAAGUAUUCCACCUGGGGAGUACGCCGGCAACGGUGAAACUCAAAGGAAUUGACGGGG